GGUUCGCUAACAAUUUAAAUAACUUUUAAAAAUUGGCUUUUUUCUAAACGAACUUAUUCAGAUUAAUCAGUCGAAUAUACUAGCAGAUUAGCUCACGAUGAGGACACUAAAGAUAAUUUCGUUUCAUUUGAUACUUCCGUUCGUAUGUUCGUUCGACUUGCAGUGCGAAUGGAACUUUGUAAACCAAAAAGCAUGUCUUGUAAGAAAUUUAAAUGUUACAAGUCCCGACCAAGUCGUGAAGAGCGUUAACGGUCACACUACCACAGUACUGGAAGAUGUUUUUGGUUUUUGGGUUAAAAAUCAGACAUGCCACUACAUUCCUCAGAACAUUGCCACAUUCAUGCCAAAUUUGAAGUGGUUGGAAUUCGAAGAUUCAGGUCUGAGAAGAUUAUCGAAAUUUGACCUUGCACCAUUUACCAAAUUGA